GUCUAUGUCCAUACCACCCUGAACAUGCCCAAUUUUGUCUGAUCUUGGAAGCUAAGCAGGGUCAGCCCUGGUUAGCACUUGAAUGGGAGACUACAUUUUUCAGGUCACCAUAAAAC
ensembl:rRNA 5S_rRNA 5S ribosomal RNA